GGAGGAAACAGGGGCCGCACAAUUAACAACAGUACAAACAAGGGGAGGCGACGAGCGAGGAAAACAAAGCAGGUUUUGUUCCAAGGAGCACCUGAGUUGCCUUUUACUGUCUUGACUUAUCGGGAGAAACCAGUGAACACGCCGCUUGGAAGGUGGACAGUCCGCUGCCUGGUUGCUCGUGGUAACUCUCCGCCAUGCCUUUCCCCUUUGGCAAGUCCCACAAGUCGCCGGCGGACAUCGUCAAGAACCUUAAGGACAGCAUGACGGUGCUUGAGAAGCAUGACAUCUCUGAUAAAAAGGCAGAGAAGGCCACAGAGGAAGUGUCAAAGAGCCUGGUGGCCAUGAAGGAGAUCCUGUAUGGGACAAAUGAAAAAGAGCCCCAGACGGAGGCAGUGGCCCAGCUCGCCCAGGAGCUCUAUAACAGCGGCUUACUGAGCACCCUGAUAGCAGACCUGCAGCUCAUCGACUUCGAGGGUAAAAAAGAUGUGGCUCAGAUCUUCAACAACAUCCUGAGGCGUCAGAUCGGCACUCGGACACCCACAGUAGAGUACCUUUGCACUCAGCAGAAUAUCCUCUUCAUGUUGCUUAAAGGGUAUGAGUCUCCAGAGAUUGCCCUAAACUGCGGUAUCAUGCUGAGGGAGUGCAUCAGACACGAACCACUGGCCAAGAUCACGCUGUGGUCAGAACAGUUCUACGACUUCUUCAGAUACGUGGAGAUGUCCACAUUCGACAUCGCCUCAGACGCAUUUGCCACUUUCAAAGACCUCCUCACAAGACACAAGCUACUGAGUGCAGAGUUUCUGGAGCAACAUUACGACAGGUUCUUUAGCGAAUAUGAGAAGUUACUCCACUCAGAAAACUACGUGACUAAAAGACAGUCCCUGAAGUUAUUGGGGGAGUUGCUUCUCGACCGGCACAAUUUCACCAUAAUGACGAAAUACAUCAGCAAGCCGGAGAAUCUCAAGUUAAUGAUGAAUCUGCUACGGGACAAGAGCCGCAACAUCCAGUUUGAGGCGUUCCACGUUUUUAAGGUGUUUGUGGCCAACCCCAACAAGACGCAGCCCAUCCUGGACAUCCUGCUGAAGAACCAGACCAAACUCAUCGAGUUUCUCAGCAAGUUCCAGAAUGACAGAACAGAGGACGAACAGUUCAACGACGAAAAGACUUACCUGGUCAAACAGAUCAGAGACCUCAAGAGGCCUGCACCCCAGGAGGCCUGAAAGCGGGUGCAGAGGUGCAGGGAGGAGCCCCCAGGACCAUAUCUGGACAACAUCCAGACAACGUCUGCUUAACGGACCCAUCAGCAGCUGCUGUUCUGGUUUCUGAACAAAAAUGAGGAAACAAAUGAAAAACAAACAAGCCCAUUUCAGCUCAUCAGGAAGUCGCCAGCUCCUCUGCUCCUCAGAACAUUUGAUAUUUUUUUUCUUUUUCAAUCUUUUUCCUUCAAAAGAAAUAAGAGAAAAUAAUAGUUGCUGCUGCUUUCUUGCACAUUGAGACGUUUAAGGUAUAUUAUAUUGACACAACAGUCCAUCACACACAGAGACAGAACGUGUCCGUGCAUUAAAAGUAAGGCAGACUUCCUGAUAGACACUCUCACACACACACACACACACACCAAGCAGUUGACACGUUUACACACACAUGUAUUACAUGAAAAAACAAAAGAACAUGCAUACACACAUGCUGCAAGAAUGUCAGCUAAAACCAUGUGAUGGAAACGGUACGAGCAAGUUGAACAUUGGUGUGUUCGUUGCAUGCCUUGAAAUGUGACAGAUCCACGGCUGUACCCGGCGCCGGCUCCGUGAAGGCGUGCCCGGUUUGGCGCCCGCGUUCAGCGCCGCCGACUCGCGUGCAUCACAGCAACCGCUACAGUUCGCAUCUAUGCCUUCAUCCAGCAAAGCAAACAGUGGUUCAUUUCAGCGGGGACGAGCUCUCAGAUGCCAUCACACAGAACCAUUUACCUCCUGUGUGCUUUGUUACGACUCAGCACUUGAAGCACAUGAAGAGAGGAGGGAGGGAUGGAAGGUAUGAGUUUGGUAAAGCCUGAGGAUUGGGUGUUUUUAUUAUUUUCUGGGACAGGGUGAACAUGUACAUAUGCCUUUUUUUUUUUUUUUUUUUGCUUUGUAGAUUUUUGUUUAACCUUGACAUAUGAAUAUAUAUUAUAUAUAUAUAUAUAUAUAUAUUACCUUAAACAUCACGUUUUUGGUUAAUUGUAAUCAAAUUACUUUCUAAACCAUGAAAAACAACAAGUUAAGUGACAUUGUUUUUGCAUUUCAUUUUACUGCUGAAAUGGUUGCUGGUGGGUUUCUUUGUACAUAACUUAAAGGGCCAGCUCACAUUUAGCUAACCGAUAGGAUAUUAACAAUUUGUACAGCGGAGGAAUGUCAUGGUAUUAGCUCUGGAUCUGUUAAUCCUCUUUUUAUUCUCCAUCUACAUUUUGAGUAUCUCAGACUGCUGAAAAUGUGCAGGGGGGGUGUGAGCGGUGCCGAAAGGGAGGGAAGGGAAUGGGCAGAGCGUUCACUGAAACAUUGAAGCCUGUGUGUUUGUGCACUUUGCGAGAUGCUGGGCAGUCGGCAUCGCCUAACUGGAGUCGAGGGCGCUAAGGAUUUCCCCGAUCCUCCGUUGGCUUGUUUUUGCCCCCCAUCCUGGGAGUGCUGUGUGGCCCCACAGUAAGCGUGCUUCGGGGGUGAUCUCAUUACAACAGCUCGGCACAUCUUUCUAUCAUUCUUACUUCCAUUCUUGUCCUUUUUUUUUUUUUUUAGCCUUUCUCUUCAGGGGGUUUUAUAAUUCCAGUACAAUGAUGAGUGUAAAGCAUUGUGGGUAGCAGGGUACUUUGGGCAUGCUGGUUUGUCCUCAUGGUGUUGCGCAAAACUGAUAAAACCACAGAUUUUCCCUUAUUUUGCAGUGAUGCAUUCAGGCAGGUAAAGAAGAAUCCAUUCGAGUGCAGACAACAGCCCACAGCUCCUCCAUGCGCGUUGAACAAGCAUGUCGCUCCACUGGCUGUGCAUGAUGCUGCGCCAAAGAUGUUGUACUGGAAUUGUUUCUUUUUUCAAAGUAUUUAACAACAUUGAAAUGUCAAGUUGAACUCUUGGUGAUACGGCUGCACGCUGACUCCAGUUUCAGCAUAGAGCGUGUGGGUGCUUUCAGAAGUGUCAAAGGCCUGGGCCCUACAAUCGAAAUAAAGAAGAAAAAAACAUUUGGAAUAAAAAAAA